UGAGUAACACGUGAGUGACCUGCCUUUUAGACUGGAACAACUUACCGAAAGGUGAGCUAAUGCCGGAUGAGUUAUAUAAGUGCAUGUUUAUAUAGGAAAAGUUGGGGAGACCUGGCGCUGAAAGAUGGACUCGCGUCCCAUUAGCUAGUUGGUAGGGUAAUGGCCUACCAAGGCGACGAUGGGUAGCCGGCCUGAGAGGGUGGCCGGCCACACUGGGACUGAGACACGGCCCAAACUCCUACGGAAGGCAGCAG
rnacentral:rRNA from 1 species